rnacentral:rRNA from 1 species
AGCAGCCGCGGUAAUUCCAGCUCCAAUAGCGUAUAUUAAAGUUGUUGCAGUUAAAAAGCUCGUAGUUGAAUUUCGGGAUCAGUAGGUUGGUCAUACCUCUGGUAUGUACUGGUCUCACUGAUUCCUCCCUCUUGAAGAACUGUAAUGUCAUUAAUUUGAUGUUGCGGGGAAUCAGGACUGUUACUUUGAAAAAAUUAGAGUGUUUAAAGCAGGCUCACGCUUGAAUACAUUAGCAUGGAAUAAUGAAAUAGGACGUAUGAUCCUAUUUUUGUUGGUUUCUAGGAUUGACGUAAUGAUUAAUAGGGAUAGUUGGGGGGCAUUAGUAUUCAAUUGUCAGAGGUGAAAUUCUUGGAUUUAUUGAAGACUAACUACUGCGAAAGCAUUUGCCAAGGAUGUUUUCAUUAAUCAAGAACGAAAGUUAGGGGAUCGAAGACGAUCAGAUACCGUCGUAGUCUUAACCAUAAACUAUGCCGACUAGGGAUCGGAUGANGUUAAUUUUUUUAAUGACUCAUUCGGCGCC